rnacentral:rRNA from 1 species
CGGUCGCGUAACACGUAAGCAACCUGCCCCAAAGACCGGGACAACGUUUCGAAAGGAGCGCUAAUACCGGAUGUGACCUUUUUGCGACAUCGCGAGAAGAUUAAAGCGAGCAAUCGGCUUUGGGAGGGGCUUGCGGCCUAUCAGCUAGAUGGUGGGGUAACGGCCUACCAUGGCGACGACGGGUAGCUGGUCUGAGAGGAUGGUCAGCCGGAUUGGGACUGAGAUACGGCCCAG